AUAACGGCUGGAAACGGUCGCUAAUACCGCAUAACAUACAGGAGGGACAUCCCUUUUGUAUCAAAGAUUUAUCGCUCGAAGAUGGGCUCGCGUCCGAUUAGGUAGUUGGUGAGGUAACGGCCCACCAAGCCGACGAUCGGUAGCCGGACUGAGAGGUUGAACGGCCACAUUGGGACUGAGACACGGCCCAGACUCCUACGGGAGGCAGCAGUGGGGGAUAUUGCACAAUGGGGGAAACCCUGAUGCAGCGACGCCGCGUGUAGGAAGACGGUCCUCUGGAUUGUAAACUACUGUCCCCAGGGACGAAGAUGACGGUACCUGGGGAGGAAGCUCCGGCUAACUACGUGCCAGCAGCCGCGGUAAUACGUAGGGAGCGAGCGUUGUCCGGAAUUACUGGGUGUAAAGGGAGCGUAGGCGGGGAUGCAAGUUGGGUGUUAAAUCUACCGGCUCAACUGGUAGUCGCACUCAAAACUGCAGCUCUUGAGUGAAGUAGAGGCAGGCGGAAUUCCUAGUGUAGCGGUGAAAUGCGUAGAUAUUAGGAGGAACACCAGUGGCGAAGGCGGCCUGCUGGGCUUUUACUGACGCUGAGGCUCGAAAGUGUGGGGAGCAAACAGGAUUAGAUACCCUGGUAGUCCACACCGUAAACGAUGAUUACUAGGUGUGGGGGGUCUGACCCCCUCUGUG
rnacentral:rRNA from 1 species